CCUACCCUUGACAUGGAUGGAAUCCCGAAGAGAUUUGGGAGUGCUCGAAAGAGAACCAUCACACAGGUGCUGCAUGGCUGUCGUCAGCUCGUGUCGUGAGAUGUUGGGUUAAGUCCCGCAACGAGCGCAACCCUUGUCAUUAGUUGCUACGAAAGGGCACUCUAAUGAGACUGCCGGUGACAAACCGGAGGAAGGUGGGGAUGACGUCAAGUCCUCAUGGCCCUUAUGGGUAGGGCUUCACACGUCAUACAAUGGUACAUACAGAGGGCCGCCAACCCGCGAGGGGGAGCUAAUCCCAGAAAGUGUAUCGUAGUCCGGAUUGGAGUCUGCAACUCGACUCCAUGAAGUGGAAUCGCUAGUAAUCGC
rnacentral:rRNA from 1 species